CGGACGGGUGAGUAAUGCCUAGGAAUCUGCCUGGUAGUGGGGGACAACGUUUCGAAAGUAACGCUAAUACCGCAUACGUCCUACGGGAGAAAGCAGGGGACCUUCGGGCCUUGCGCUAUCAGAUGAGCCUAGGUCGGAUUAGCUAGUUGGUGAGGUAAUGGCUCACCAAGGCGACGAUCCGUAACUGGUCUGAGAGGAUGAUCAGUCACACUGGAACUGAGACACGGUCCAUACUCCUACGGGAGGCAGCAGCA
rnacentral:rRNA from 1 species